CAGGAAAGAAUGGCAGUGACUGAACCGGAAUGAGCUGAAAACUUGUGCUGUGUUAAAUUGUUUGUAACUUGUUUUGCUGACCCCAAAAGUUGGAAGAUUGGUGUGAGAACAAUGGUGCCAUCAUCACUUCCUAAAAGGUGUACUACUUAGCCUCAUAAUGCCUGGCAAGCCUUGACUUGGUAGUUUUUGUACACAAAACAAAUAUAAGUAAGAUGAUCUGAAAGGUUUUUGGAUUCUCAA